rnacentral:rRNA from 1 species
GAUGAACGCUGGCGGCGUGCCUAAUACAUGCAAGUCGAGCGAACAGAUGAGGAGCUUGCUCCUCUGACGUUAGCGGCGGACGGGUGAGUAACACGUGGAUAACCUACCUAUAAGACUGGGAUAACUUCGGGAAACCGGAGCUAAUACCGGAUAAUAUAUUGAACCGCAUGGUUCAAUAGUGAAAUACGGUUUUGCUGUCACUUAUAGAUGGAUCCGCGCCGCAUUAGCUAGUUGGUAAGGUAACGGCUUACCAAGGCAACGAUGCGUAGCCGACCUGAGAGGGUGAUCGGCCACACUGGAACUGAGACACGGUCAAGACUCCUACGGGAGGCAGCAGUAGGGAAUCUUCCGAAAUGGGCGAAAGCCUGACGGAGAAACGCCGCGUGAGUGAUGAAGGUCUUCGGAUCGUAAAACUCUGUUAUUAGGGAAGAACAAAUGUGUAAGUAACUAUGCACGUCUUGACGGUACCUAAUCAGAAAGCCACGGCUAACUACGUG